CGGCCAGGUCGACCUCGUUGCCGCCCUUCUUUUCCCUGUCUCUGGUGUUUCUCCUCCUCUCUCUAAUGUCUCUCUCUCCCCUUGCAAUCAAGAGCAGCCAUGGAGGCGCCGAAGGACCUCCAAGCCAUCCUCGGAUCCGACCCCAACGCCCAUCCCUCACCUCCUAGCGCCGCCGGUAACCUCGUCGUUGCCCUGCUCUCCCCGUUCUUCCCUUUCUUCCAUGCCCCUUCGCUCAUCUCUCUCUGUCUCGUUCGAACAGGAAGCCAUGGAGGCCAAGCUCCGCCGGAUCACAUCAGAUCCGUCGGGAAUGGAGCCACCCCGGCCAGAUCCGGCAAGAGCCGCCGCUGCCCGAGCCUUCCAUGUCGUUCCCCGCCGCAAUCCGUGCUCGAGACCCCUGCCCAGACCGCCAUGGCCUCCCCAUCCCCUGAUGUGAGCAAGUCCCUGCGUAACUGAAUUUCAGUUCUUUCCAAGAUCUGUUCCGCCAUGCUGAUGUUAUGUAGUAUUGCCUCUGAAUUCCUACACGCACACAUGGUUACUAAAGUGGCUAGCGCUCUCUCCUUCUAGCCAGGAGACCCGGGAUCAAAUCCCAGCGAGCUCUUAUUUAAUUUUUGUUGCACCAUCGACGUACACAUGUUGCUAUUUCUUCUCCGGUAUUUCAGAUGCUUAUAGCACAAG
rnacentral:lncRNA from 1 species